CUUUCACUUGUGAUCUGAGGAUGUGCAGGUUCUGCAGGUUCUGCAGUCAAGUACUAGCAUUUCCUUACAAGUAAUACUUGGUAAGAGAGUCAGAGGAGGGUUGUGACUGGGUUAAAAUACAAGUGCCUUAUGUGAGAGCUGACCCUCUGACUCAGCUUCUCCUGUGCCCUAGGACUGAGAGAAUUAACCCAGAUAUUUUCUCUGCUAUUGUGCUGUGGAAAUAAACUGAAUGUGAAAAGCUACAACACCUGCAAGCAACAUCAUUUGUCCUUACAGAGGGAUCCCAGGGCUCCUUAAACCUAAAGAGUUCUGUUGGGUGCAGCCAUCUCUUUUUCAUAGCUUUUAACAUUAAGGCUGAGAAAAUGCCUUCUGUGUCACAGCAUCUGGCCAGAAGCUACAGGGAAAAGCUGUGGCUGUGAGGGAAAGGAAGCUGAGAAAUGCCUGAGGUUGCAGCAACGUUUGUCUUGAAUCACAAGAUACCUUAAUGACCCUUCAGGACACUCAGUACGUAAAGGCUUUAAUGGCAGCCUCAGAUGUGGAGCCUAUCAGCAAAGCUCAGUAAGGUUAUAAUACUGCUCUCAGCUGGAUAGGCUAUGACUUUGCUUACUCCAACUCAAAUAUGAAGCUUGCAGUGGAGCUCCAGCUGCUAUGCAGUGCCAGCAAAGCAGCUGAGGGGCUGCCUGCCCUUUUCAUGCAGUUCACAGCACCAUGGAGCACUCCCUAGCAAUGGUCAUGAUUGUCUCUGCUCAGAGAUGGCCAUCUCCAAAUAAUGAUGGGCAGCAGCCCCACAGAAAUUAUUAAGGUGUUUCUUGGAGCAACAGUUACUGGACUUGCUCAGGAGGCUGUGUCAGGUGGGGUUUGCCAAUAAAACAACUAACCGCUCCAAUGGAAGGGUUUUGUAGAGCUUUAUGUAUCUGAGUGUUCAACAACCACAUGUGAAGCACUACAAACAAAGCUCCUGGAUACAAGAAGUGCUCGACAUGUUGGUAGGGAAAGAAAACCUUUUUCAAUACUUAACAGGAAAAUAUCAUAAUCUUUUUGAAAGCCACAAAAGCAGUGACAAGAUGAGGUUCUGAAAAAAAUUCAUUCCUCUCUAUAGUAUCUGGUAUGUCCUUUGUAUACAAAGAGGUUUUUCCACCUGAAGAACUCCUUCUCUCCAGGCUUCUCUGAAGAACUACUGAAGGCUCAACAUAAGCACAACUGCAGAACACUGGUGCCAGAAGCCAUAUGUCGUCACUUUGAAUUCUUCUAUGUAGUCUACAGUCUCCUCUGGUUUAUUUUUUCUAACCGAUCUUUGUUUUUAGAGCAAUUCAUCAGUUUAUAAAUAGAUGGGUGUGAUACUUUCAAAAAUCCCAAUGAAGAAUGAAUGCUUUGAUGCUUUCUUACUGAAAAAUGCUAAAAAAUAAUUCUUUGUAUGGUGUGACUCUAUAAGACUUGCUUAACACAAGUUAAACAGUUUGGGCAAUUUGAUAUUCCAAAAUAAUAUUUUAUAAUGAAAAAGAUGUUCAAAAAAUGCAGGUCAAACUAAAUUCCCUUACUGUUGCCAUUAUUGUAUUUUUGACAAGUCUUACCUCUUAAUGUGUUUUGGCUGAAAUCGAGUCUUGCUUGUGUCUUAUAUUCACUUUUGUUUGAAAGCAUAAUUUCCUAAAUCUGAAGGCCAUGACCAAUGAUAUUAUUUCUGUAGUAGUAAGAUUUAGGAUGAAGCAUCUAUUUUUUUUUUAAUCUUAUAUUUUGUGCUCUAAAUCCCUUCCUAACUCAAAGUGACAAUGUUAUGGGGAUCAGAAUGAAAAAGAAAAUAGUUUCUAUUUUAGUCACUUGGUCUGGGGAUUCUACAAUUAGUGGCCUACAAGGCUACUGAAGUACAUGUGGCAUUUGAGAAAGGUUCUGCUACGUUCCCUACCAGAAUCUGACUUGAGUAAAUGAGAUGUCCGGAGAAUUCACUCCAGCUCCUGGCUGCACAGAGAAGAUAUAUGCCUGUAUGAAAAGUGGAAGGGAUUUCAUCAGACCUCUUUUGUUUGGGCAUUUCAUUUAAAAUUUAGAUAGAUAUUGAGUUUCCACCUGAAGGCUGGUCACACCUCAGCCAAUUAUUUUGAUCUGCAGCUAUGCAGCCAGCCCCUGAAAAUCCAAACAGUAAUCUUACAGAAUCACAGAGUCAUAGAGUGGUUUGGAUUGGAAAAGAUGUUAAAGUUCAUCCAGUUCUAACCCCCCUGCCUUCGGCAGACACAUAGUCCGCUAGACCAAGUUGCUCAGAACCCCAUCCACACUGGCCUGGAGCAUUCUCAGGGAUGAGAGAGACAUCCACAGCUUCUCUGGUCAACCUGUUCCAGUGGCUCACCCUUCUUACAGUAAAGAAUUUCCUUCUACCACCUAAUCUAAACCUGCUCUAGGUUUGAAGCCACUAGCCCAUGUCCUGGCACUACAUGCCCUUGUAAAAAGUGCCUCUCCAGCUCUCUCGUAGGCUCUCUUCAUGUACAGGAAGUCAACUAUAACUUUUCCAAAUUAUGAACCAAUAGUUAUGGAGUAAUUUUAAAAUAUAUACUUUUCAUGGCUAAAUCAAAGAUUACAUCAAAAUUCUUCUGGCAGGGGUUUGUUAUAAUUUCCUAUCACCUUUUCCCACUGUGCCAGGCUAUCCUGCAAUAACUGAGCUGCUUUGCUUUUCUCAGAGCAAGAUGUUGAAUGGUUGAGGCAUGUUCUGCCUGUAGUGGAUGGGUAAACAGUGGCUUUAGCCUGAAAAAAAGGACAAUGAAGUGAAACAAAAGUUUAUCAAUUGCAGAGCCAGUGAAGCCCAAGAAUAGGUGAAGGAUUUUCAGGCUUCUCUGUGAUAAAAGUUUUAAUAGGAGACUGGACAAAUAUUUCAUGGGAAGAAGAUGUUCUGGUGAUGGAUUUGGACCUCACAAAACACCUGAACUUUCCUGUUCAACAAUUUUAAAUCCACCAUGGGACCUUGUGUUAUCUGUAACGAUUCAGGGAGUACCUAUUCCAAAUUUUCAGGAAAAUUCAGACCUAUGGUCAGACACUUGGGGAAGUCACUGUGGUCACUCAAGUAUUUUAUAACAGAGGAAUGCUACUAAAAUCUCACUCCCUGGAGGCAAAUACUCAAGAUAGCACAUGGAGAAGGCAGCUUUAGUUUAUCCUAGCUGCUGCUUCACAUGAUUACUUCCAGAAUGUGAGUAUCCAUGUCACCAUUUAGUGGCUGUUUGUCAACGAAGGAGAAGUUUUGCUAACAUACACAAGAGGCUUUUACUUGCCCUUCCAACAGCCUAAAAUGAAAGGACAGACCACCCUGCACAAUGAGGUCAGUUUUAUAGAGGCUUUGAGAAAAGAGUGAGACAGAAAAAUAUCUGACUUUGAAAUAGUUUCAACAUAAAUUUGGGACUAGAGAGAGCUCAAGAAAUAAAAGACACAGAAAAGGGCAUUUAGGAAAGGAAAGCCUUGUUUCAAGGGUCUAUGUCAAACCAAGUUUGCUUGUUCAGAAGGUAAGAUGUGAUGCAGACACGUUCAGUAACCUUAUUUUCUUUUUGAUAACCACAUAAUGGGAGAGUUUGGUACACCAGCCCUGCCAGAUUGACUAGAUUUCAGAUAGAAUGAAAUAUUACUUUGGUUGGAGACAAGACUUGAUGGUUUUGAAGGUAUUAGGUGUGGUGCUUAAAAAAAGUUUUUUAUGAGGGGAAAGAAAUAGCAGGCAGUGAUGUUCACUGUGUCAGACUUAUUUGGGAAGUCAAUAGUCUCUCUUUGCUUUCUUAUUGUUUUACUAAAGUGGAAUAAUCUUUAAAAGCCUGCCAUAUCACAGUGUUUCUGGAAUCUAGAGACCCUUUCUAGACCUACACAUCCUCAAUGCACAAAUCCAAGUUGCUCCUGCUCCCAGUUUGUGUAGAUCAAAGUGAAGGUAUCACCCCCACAUAUUGACAAUGUACUGUUUUCUAGGUGUGUAUUGUGUACUUCCUUAGUCCCUUUGGGCCAGCUAUGAGCUGGACAAUUGUGUUGCAGGACAAUGCAUGCACUGAGGAGCAGUAGUCCAGCUCAGUAACACUCAUGCAAGGCUUACAUAAGUUGAACUCAUAUAACUUUGCACAUGUUUAGGAGACCUAAAUUGGACCUAAACUCUCCCGCAGUUUCAAAGUGAUGGAACAAAAUCAUAUAAAUGUGUUUUCCUAUGAAAUGGAAAGCAAGGAAAUGACUACACUUUCAUUUUUCCUGCAUAUUUCUAAUGUAAGAAGACAUCAGAACUUACACAUGGAGAAGUGGCAUGAAAACAUGUUGUAAUUUCAUCUCACAUGGGAAAGGACUGAUGGUGUUAUUCCUCAGGUAGUCUCAAAUACUGUACUUCAUUUCCACCCUUACCUGUGGAAAGCAGAAAAUAAAUACUAUAGAGUAAACCAGAAAGUAUGACUUGUCAUUUUCCAGAAUGAUGUUUUAUAUCUGAUUGUAUAAGUUAUUACUUUACCUUGUGAAAGGAGAAAAAAAGGGGGGGAUUAAAUCGAAGUAGGAAACAGAAAAGAGUCGUGGGAAACAGAUGAAUGAUGACAUCCAAAGAAUGGCAUGAAAAACUGAAGAAAUGCUACACAAAGCCAGGAAAUUGUCAUUUUGCAGCAAUGGCAUCUCUCUGUGAUUGUCUUCAGCACUGUUUCACCACAUCCAUCACUGAAGGACGCACAGAUGUCACCAUGAGAAAUUCACAACUUGAAUAAAGUUCCACAGCAAGCAAUGGAAAGACUUUGAUUAAUUCCAGAGGGCUUUGGAUGUGGCUCUUUCCAUAUCCUGGCUCGUUUUGGCUCAGGACCUGAAAUCACUGUUUUUCUUUUUAAUAACAAUACUUUCCAUUUCUAUGGUGACUUACAUUCACAAAGCUCAGUGAAAGCUUGUAAUAUUUCCUUUUAUGAGUUCUAUUAAUAUCAAGGAAAAUAAAAACUUUUUUUUUUUUUUUUGUCAUGAAACGCAGGUCUUCUGACCUCCUCACAGUUCAGAGGUAGCUCAAAAUUGUAAUUAAUUUUCAUAAGAAACUGUAA